rnacentral:sRNA from 1 species
UCCAGGCCUGGAAUCCCUACGCGUCCCGUUGGGUUUAGCACGAUGAGCUCAAUCGGCACCGGGUAUGACCUGUCAGCCUCUACAUUCUCUCCUGACGGAAGAGUUUUUCAAGUUGAAUAUGCUAUGAAGGCUGUGGAAAAUAGUAGUACAGCUAUUGGAAUCAGAUGCAAAGAUGGUGUUGUCUUUGGGGUAGAAAAAUUAGUCCUUUCUAAACUUUAUGAAGAAGGUUCCAACAAACGACUUUUUAAUGUUGAUCGGCAUGUUGGAAUGGCAGUAGCAGGUUUGUUGGCAGAUGCUCGUUCUUUAGCAGACAUAGCAAGAGAAGAAGCUUCCAACUUUAGAUCUAACUUUGGCUACAACAUUCCACUAAAAGUAAGUUGAUAACAUAUUGAGGAACCUUUUGGACAGUAAUAGAAGUUUAUUAAUAAGCUCUUCUGCUUCCCUCCAUAGCAUCUUGCAGACAGAGUGGCCAUGUAUGUGCAUGCAUAUACACUCUACAGUGCUGUUAGACCUUUUGGCUGCAGUUUCAUGUUAGGGUCUUACAGUGUGAAUGACGGUGCGCAACUCUACAUGAUUGACCCAUCAGGUGUUUCAUAUGGUUAUUGGGGCUGUGCCAUUGGCAAAGCCAGGCAAGCUGCAAAGACGGAAAUAGAGAAGCUUCAGAUGAAAGAAAUGACCUGCCGUGAUAUCGUUAAAGAAGUUGCAAAAAUGUAAGUUG